GUUAGGGUGUGACUUUGGGCCACACACUUGUAUGUUCCAGUGUCUGUUCCAUCAACAUUCCUGAGAGUUAAUGUUUGUUCUUCGUUUUCUGUUACACCAAUGGGGUCGCCAUCUUUAUACCAAGUUACAUUGGCUGGAGGGUUUCCACCUUCACCUCUACAUACACAUGUAAAGUCAUCACCUUCAUUUAGUAUGAUAGAAC